rnacentral:rRNA from 1 species
GACGUAGGGGGCCAGCGUUGUUCGGAAUUACUGGGUGUAAAGGGUUCGUAGGCGGUGCGGCAAGUUGGGAGUGAAAUCUCUGGGCUUAACCCAGAGGCUGCUUCCAAAACUGCUGUGCUUGAGGGUGGUAGAGGCGAGUGGAAUUCCCGGUGUAGCGGUGAAAUGCGCAGAUAUCGGGAGGAACACCAGUAGCGAAGGCGGCUCGCUGGGCCAUUCCUGACGCUGAGACGCGAAAGCUAGGGGAGCGAACAGG